UUUGGCUGGUGUACGUGACUUUUGAGAUUCUGGAGGGUGGUGAGAUCUACUCUUCCUGAGGCCGCCCAGGAGGUUGAGUCCACGAGCACGCCUGAAUAAGCUACAACCUACUUUCCAUCUCAAAGUUGGAUCUCCAGGGAACUCAGCCUACACUAUUGAACACCUCCAUCUGAGAAUACUGCUGAGACCAGCUCAUUGCUGUCUAGUGUUCAGACCCCUCAAACCCUGCUGAAGAGAAAAUCCUGGCCUAUCCUUCAAAGCUUCUGAAGACAGUGUUAAUACUGAUUCAAGAUCAUGAGAGAGAUUGUCCUGUAAUUUUCCUUUCUUUUAACAUCCUUGUCAGAUUUUGGUGUCAACCUACAGUGUGUUUUUAAUCCUUGAAACUUGUUGAGACUUUGUUCAAUGGCCUAGCACAAUGUCAAGUUUUAUAAAUGUUCCAUGACUAUCUGGAAAGAAUAUAUAUUCUGCAAUGUCACUUUAGUGUUCUAUAGUCAAUUUUAUUAAUUGUGUUGUUAAAAUCUUCUCUAUAUCUCCUGGUCUUUUGUUGGUUGGUUCUAGCAGUCACUGAGAGAAAUGAACUAAGGUAUCCUAACAUGAUUGUUCUUUCCAUUUCUCCUUAUAUUUUU
rnacentral:lncRNA from 1 species